rnacentral:rRNA from 1 species
CACGGGGGGAGCAAGCGUUGUUCGGAAUCACUGGGCGUAAAGGGCGUGUAGGCGGUCAGGUAAGUGGGACGUGAAAUCCCUCGGCUCACCCGAGGACCUGCGUCCCAAACUGCUUGGCUUGAGUAUGGGAGAGGAUGAGGGAAUUCCUGGUGUAGCGGUGAAAUGCGUAGAUAUCAGGAGGAACACCGGUGGCGAAGGCGCUCAUCUGGCCCAAUACUGACGCUGAGGCGCGAAAGCUAGGGGAGCAAACGGG